UUUUUAAGAUAUUUCUUGGGGUUUCCAAGUGGUUUGAGGUUUAGAAAAGCUUGAAGAGAUUGUUUUCGCCGAAAAGUUGCUCGGAUAAGCACAUCAAUACCUAAGACAUCACUUGUUACACGGUGAAAUAUAUUGUGGACAAAAGGUAGAGAAAGAAAUAUGUGAAUGAUAUGAGGAGAACUGAAGCAUGGUCCUGACCCUGAUUUGUACAUAUGAACACAUCGACCUUUUUGUGGGUUAUUUCAGUUAUCAGUGAGAUGUUUGUAAUAAAGUGUGAAGUUAUGUUUUGAAAAUAAAUUAGGUUAUUUAAUACUUAUGUAUAAUAUGUUUGAGACACACUUUAUGUUUAAUGUAAAUAAUGUGAAAUAA